rnacentral:lncRNA from 1 species
GGCUCUGAUCCUCUCUGGGCCUCUUUAUUUCUUGCAGUGCCUGCCUCAUGGGAUUGCAGGGACCAAAGGAUUUGGGUGCCGGCAAUUGGAGGGCCCUUCUGUGGGCCAGCAUUGGGCAGGUGCCUCCCACGUGGUUCUCUUUUUGUCCUCCCAGUAGCCCUGUGCAUCAGACGUGGAGCUGUGCUGCAUGCACCCACUUGCCCCACUCGCCUCAGAGGAGCUUUCCUUGCAGGAGGAAUUUGAUAGAUUUUAAUACUGGAGUCCCCUGCUGACCAGGCUUUGCAUUUCCUUACCUACCCUCGGCUCUAACUUUGGCCUGGUGAAGCAGGGCACCACAGGACAUCAGGGUCACACAUCUCAGACCACAAGAGCCUAGCAGUCUCCAAGACAAAGUAGAGAUUGAAGGCCCUGCCUCUCCUUCCAGAGUACUGAGGAGCCUCCUGCCUUCCUGAGUGAGGCUGGGGGAUCAAAGCUCAACAAUAGUGGGUUGUCAGAAUUACGUUUCUAGAAAGGAAAAUCAAGACCGAUUUUUAUGGGGAGUAUAGCAUUAUGCUCCAGUAAUAGUACUAUUAGCUCCAUUGCACAGAGGAGGAAAUUGAGGCUUAGAGAAUUUCUGAUUGUCUAAAGACAUCUUUCCUGGAACUGGUGGAUCAGGGACAAGAACCCUGAUUUGUUGAUGUCAAAGCGUGUGUAGCCUUUCCUUUUUUAUAUCUUCUGGAUCAGCAAGACCACCGCAUUUGGGGAACAGAAGGCACAAUGGAGGGAGUGGCACAGCUGCAACGUGAAGGGCUCCAUGUGGGGCCUUGGAGACACCAAGCUGCCCUCCUUCUGGUCCGAGCUGCCCACUUCCCAUCCCUCAUCCCUCCUCCUUCAGCUUAGGGCCAGCUGCACCUGGCUCCAGGCCUUGCUGGGGGCUCCUUCACCCCUUGGAGUCUGGGCCUCAGAGUGACGUCCCAGGCUGAGGCUCAUUGGGAGGGGUCAGCAUUGGCAUCAGGAGACUGGGGUCAAGUCUGAGUUCUGACAGUGACUGUGUGACCUUGGACAGUCACUUGCCCUCGCUGGGCCUUGGUUUUCCUGUUGUGAAGUCAUAUGGUCCUGGGAUGUGGGCAAGGAUAGAGAAAUGAGACACUUCAGCUCCCCACUCACAAGCCGUGCCCCCUCAGGCCCACCACUUAGGUUUUCUUAGCCCCUCCAUUUUCCCCGGCAUAAAAUGGGGAUAAUGAAGCCCAUUCCUUCCGAUCGUUAAGGAAACCAGCAUUUACUGAAGGCUCGGCCCCGUGCAAGAUGCUCUCUGAAGCAUUUUCUCUCAUGGACUCCCAUCCAAACAACAAUGAAAUGAAAUGACUUGCUUUUGGUCUUUCAUACAAUGUCUCUUUGCAGCCUCUCCUGGUCUGACAGUCUCAGAUGCAGUCAUGGAUGGCUUUCUGGAGGAGGUGGUACCUGGUCUGUGGGAAGUAGGGGUCAGCAUCCUGGUCUCCGGGAUCAUCUGCUCCAGAUGGUUUCCCUGGGGCCCCCAGAAGCAGGUGUUUGCGCUAACAGCUCUGCAAGCAGAGAGCUUCAGUGCAUGGCCCUUCUUGCCCUUGUUCCCAGGCACAUGCUGUUCCCCUGGGGCUGAAUACCCCACUUACUUGUAAAUCCCAGUGCUCUCUUGUUCAUUCUGCAGUGCCAGCACAAGUCUCCUCCUUGGGGAAGGCUUUCUGGACUUCCCAGGCCACUGGCCAUUGUUCCGUCUUGCAGGUGCCCCCUCAGGGUGCCUGCUAUAACCGUCACUCACAUAUCUCCCCCACCCAACAGAGAGCCUUGCUUUUGGUCCUGGACCUGCACCUUUGACUGUAUUCUUAGUAAUU